GAUGAAGAACGCAGUGAAAUGCGAUAGGUAAUGUGAAUUGCAGAAUUCAGUGAAUCAUCGAAUCUUUGAACGCACAUUGCGCCCCUUGGUAUCCCGAGGGGCAUGCCUGUUCGAGCGUCAUUUCACCACUCAAGCCUGGCUUGGUGUUGGGCGACGUCCUCUUUGGGGACGCGCCUCGAAACGCUCGGCGGCGUGGCACCGGCUUUAAGCGUAGCAGAAUCUUUCGCUUUGGAAGUCGGGGCCCCGUCUGCCGGAAGACCUGCUCGCAAGGUUGACCUCGGAUCAGGCAGGGAUACCCGCUGAACUUAAGCAUAUCAAUAAGCGGAGGA
rnacentral:misc_RNA from 1 species